rnacentral:rRNA from 1 species
GAUGAACGCUAGCGGCAGGCCUAAUACAUGCAAGUCGAACGGUGUCUUCGGACAUAGUGGCGCACGGGUGCGUAACACGUAUGCAACCUACCUUACAUUGGGGGAUAGCCUUUCGAAAGGGAGAUUAAUACCGCAUAAGACAGUAGCUGGGCAUCCAGCAGCUGUUAAAGAUUUAUCGAUGUAAGCUGGGCAUGCGUCCAAUUAGCUAGUUGGUGAGGUAACGGCUCACCAAGGCAAUGAUUGGUAGGGGAACUGAGAGGUCAAUCCCCCACACUGGCACUGAGAUACGUGCCAGACUCCUACGGGAGGCAGCAGUGGGGAAUAUUGCGCAAUGGGCGAAAGCCUGACGCAGCAACGCCGCGUGCGGGAUGACGGCCUUCGGGUUGUAAACCGCUUUCAGCAGGGAAGAAGCCGCAAGGUGACGGUACCUGCAGAAGAAGCACCGGCUAACUACGUGCCAGCCGCCGCCGUAACAC